ACUGAUUGAUGGUGCUUGCACCUGAUUGACGAUGGAUCACCAGUGAGUGGCGGACGGGUGAGUAACACGUAGGUAACCUGCCCCGGAGCGGGGGAUAACAUUUGGAAACAGAUGCUAAUACCGCAUAACAACAAAAGCCACAUGGCUUUUGUUUGAAAGAUGGCUUUGGCUAUCACUCUGGGAUGGACCUGCGGUGCAUUAGCUAGUUGGUAAGGUAACGGCUUACCAAGGCGAUGAUGCAUAGCCGAGUUGAGAGACUGAUCGGCCACAAUGGAACUGAGACACGGUCCAUACUCCUACGGGAGGCAGCAGUAGGGAAUCUUCCACAAUGGGCGCAAGCCUGAUGGAGCAACACCGCGUGAGUGAAGAAGGGUUUCGGCUCGUAAAGCUCUGUUGUUGGAGAAGAACGUGCGUGAGAGUAACUGUUCACGCAGUGACGGUAUCCAACCAGAAAGUCACGGCUAACUACGUGCCAGCAGCCGCGGUAAUACGUAGGUGGCAAGCGUUAUCCGGAUUUAUUGGGCGUAAAGCGAGCGCAGGCGGUUGCUUAGGUCUGAUGUGAAAGCCUUCGGCUUAACCGAAGAAGUGCAUCGGAAACCGGGCGACUUGAGUGCAGAAGAGGACAGUGGAACUCCAUGUGUAGCGGUGGAAUGCGUAGAUAUAUGGAAGAACACCAGUGGCGAAGGCGGCUGUCUGGUCUGCAACUGACGCUGAGGCUCGAAAGCAUGGGUAGCGAACAGGAUUAGAUACCCUGGUAGUCCAUGCCGUAAACGAUGAGUGCUAGGUGUUG
rnacentral:rRNA from 2 species